GUAAGCGGACGCGCGGGGAGCCGGCGGCGCGCGCCGAAUGAGGCCGGGCGCGCGCGGGGGGACCCGGCACGAAGAGGAAGGAGCGCGGUGGGGAGUUGGGAGCGCGGGGCUCCCCCGGGACCCCCCGCAGCUCCGACGGGGUUUCAGUUGACUCGGACUGCACCGCAGCGAGAGUCCGUUAGGAGUCUCCGCCUGGGCGCGCAGCUGGCCGACCAUCCCGGCCCGCCUCCCCCUCGCUCCCACCAGGAAGGGCAGCCGGGCGAGAGCCAGUGACCUCUCCUCCCGCCAGUGACAGGAACAAGUCUGGCACCAUCAAAGAAGAGCAGAAAUCCAAGUUGCCAAGUCAGAGUGAAGAAGAGAGAGAAGGACAAGUAUGAGGUCAGAGGGGUAGGCAAAGACAUUUGGGCCUUGUAAACCUGGAUAAAGACUAGGCUUGUAUUCUAAAUGGAGUUGGAAACCAUUAUAGGGCUUUGCUGUGAUAAAUGCAAAGAUCUGAUUUACCAAUCUGAAGAAAUCAUUCUGGAUUCAGAAUGAAGACUGAAAUAUAUGAGGGCAAGAAUAGAACCAGAGAGACUUGUUAAACAACACUGCCAAUGACUGGAAGAAACAUUUUGUUAGCCUGGAUUUGAGAGGGAACAAUGGAGGUGGUGAAAUUUCACUGGACUCUGGAUACAUUAUGUUGAUAGAACUAACAGAACUUCCUGAUGGAAAUGUAUGAGGGAAAGAAAGAAGCCUUGAGUGACCCCCAGGUCAAUGGAGUGGAAGUAUUUCAAUGAUAUCUUUCCAUAUCAAUCCAUGUAUUAAUCAGGACUCUCCAUGACAUAAGGAUUAGACAGCAGUUCAAACCAGAUUCGAUUAAAAAGAGACUUCUUUCUUGCUCAUUCAACUAUAAGGUCCAGAGACACCAUAGAUCUGCACCCCAUCUGCAGAUGGAUCCAAGCACACUGAAGAUAACAUCAAAAACCUGUCUUUCUUUUCCCUUCUGGUCCCUGCUUUCCUCUGCCGUGGUUUCCUUCCCAGCAGGCAUCAGCUGCUUAGCAACUGAUGAAGAGUGUGAGGAGUGUGUUUCUUUCCUGAUAAACUUUCAGCCCAGAACGAACAAUCACCAGUCCAGCGUGAGUUGUGGACCACUGGUAGGACUGGAUAGAAGAAUCAACCUCACCCUCACCACACUAACUGAAAGUGAUACUUCUCUUCAAAGGAAAAUCAGAGCACAUUACAGAAAGAAAGAAGAAAAGAAGCUGGGCAGAGAAAAGAUUCCCUACAACAGAGAGUCACCUAGACAUGAAAGAAAUUCUGCUUCUACAACAAUUGACAAAAAGUAGACAGAUUCAUGUUUGACCACACUGGAUACUGGAUCAAGAUGCUGGAGAUAGACCUGAGAUUAAAGAACAAAGAAAUCUUAUCCACUAAACAGUAUUGAUUAGAACCAAAAUAUUUUGUCAUUGGAGGCCUUAUGUUACCCUUAAAAAUAAACUUUCGGAUAUUUUG
ensembl:lncRNA